CUGACAAGUGCUGAUAGAGAGGAUGGAAAAUAUGCAAGGCCAGAGAACAGCCAAAAUCCUACAGUUUCUAUCAGUAUUAAAGCCAGAUGUUCCACUGACUGUUCACAUUUGAUAAAACCUGAUGACAAAGGCUUCUGCCUGGGAUCUGUGGAUCCCAGGUUCCAUUCAUCAGCAUGUGGUUCAUGUGGCUAUACACCAGGCCAACUGGAUAGCAUUUAAUGCAGCACCAGGCCUUCUGUGAAGACAAAACUGGUCCUGCUUUGUCUGUGGGCUUCUAUAGGUUGUUGUGACUUGAACAGAUCUGUUUACGCUACAUUUGCUAUGGCAACGUUUAUCUGAUAUGGACAAAAGAUUCUUGAAUUAAUAACACUUGACUCAGGCCUAUGAUUCAACAAGAGGUAUUCAAACUGUUUAAGUGAAGGCGAUGUUUUCUUUGAAGCCAAUUAAUACAGCAACAAACCUUUGGCUGAAGUGAUCCAAAGUGCAGCAAUCUGCAAUAUUUUUGAAAAUGCCUACAAUAUGCCAAGUAUACAAAAAAUAAAAGAGGCCCAGUGCUCAACCAACCAGGGCCCACCAUCUGGCUAUGAAGGCGGAAGUUCACGUCAAUAACCCUCAUCAGUAUAAAGCUGUGGUUUCCUAACUUUGCCAGGUGACAGAGCUAUGAGCGAGAAUGUGCACCGAGGCUUCUCACCAGAGGGGCAGCCUGUGGGAAUGGUGCUGCAUCAACAGAGAGCAAGAAGGGGAGAUGCACCAAAGCUGGGGUGGACAACAUGGAUGGCACUGGCCCAGGUAACACGCUCAUGAUUUGAUCAGUAUUCCCAGCGGGGACAUAAGCUAGAACCUAGUUUGAUUUCAGGCUACCCAGGCAAGAGGUCACUGUGAAUAUUAAUGUGAUCUCUACCAGACCAAUGGGUUUGUGUCUUCACAGCUGAGAUUCCAGUACUCCCUGGAUUUGGUAGUAUACCUUUUAUUCCAAACCUCAAAACAUAUUUGGGUAUUUUUCUGCUUAAAUAAUCAUCUUCUAUGCUAAAUUUUUUAUAAGGACAUAAAAUUAAAUGUGCUCACAAGUUUAAUAAGUUAAUUUUAGAGAUAAGAGUAGAUAUAAUUGGAACUUCUCAGGAAAACUGUAUAUGUAUAUGUUGUAUUUGUGAAGGACACAAAUGUAUCAGAAAAAAAUCAAGAACAUUUAAGAAUUGUUUCAUCUCUACUGUAUUCUGUGUAAUCAGUUAGUUAAUUAGGUAAGAGCUAGCUAUAAUUCUGUGAUGAUUGUGGAGUAACAUCUAAAAUGUAAAACUGCUAGGUUUAUAAAAAAGUUUGUGGUCUUAUUUCCUAUUACCCAAGACUGUUAUUUACAUUUUUUUAAUCUUUUGGGUUUUCCCCCCUAAUUUUAAUAUGAUUCUUGCUUUUUUCGGGCUUUGUUGCACACAUUAAAAUAUUAAUAUUUGCAUCAUUAAAGGUGAUUACCUUCUAGUUUGCAUAUGUUGUUUCUUCCAAAAGAAGAAAGCAAAGGCGACUAUUACUUCCUUUCCCUUCACUUACCCUGCCUAUGAUGUGAAUAGGAUAGAAAGUACAACUAAGUGCCGGGCACGGUGGCUCACGCCUGUAAUCCCAGCACUUUGGGAGGCUGAGGCCGGCGGAUCUCGAGGUCAGGAGAUCGAGACCACCCUGGCUAACACAGGGAAACCCCGUCUCUACUAAAAAUACAAAACAUUAGCAGGGUGUGGUGGCGGGCACCUGUAGUCCCAGCUACUUGGGAGGCUGAGGCAGGAGAAUGGCGUGAACCCGGGAGGCAGAGCUUGCAGUGAGCCGAGAUUGCACUCCAGCCUGGGCAACAGAGCUAGAAUCCGUCUCAAAAAAAGAAAAAAGAAAAAUAAAAAAAAAAAGAAAGUACAAUUAAAAUUAGGUUUAACCCUACACUUCUUAAUAUAUGUGUUUUUCUGAAAACUCUGGAAUGGAAAAGAGUGCUUAUGUUUACAAAUAGGGUGAGACAUGUUUAAGUUGUCAUUAUCUAAUCUGAACACUAAUUUGGAACUGAUUACCUUGCUGCAUUAAGAAACAAUCUCAGCAGUUUCACAAAUGAAAGUUCACAAUAUAUCCAUAUACUCCCACUUCUGCACAUUCUUGAAAUCCAGUUUACAUUAAGUCUUGCGUAGAAUAUGCUUUAAUAGACGUCGACUUUUUUGGCAUAGAAAAAUCAACCAUUCUCGAUUCAGUCAGUCUUCUAUUUAAUAAAUCAAGCAAUAAUUAUAAGGCAGUUAAGAAAUGGGGAUAUUGAAAUAUACUGGAUAAUUUGGUAGGGUACUGGAAACACCAGGUUGUUUAUGUGAUUUUUACAAAUAAGACAAAGAACUGAAGUAGACAUGGAUAUUGUGCUAAAAUUUUGUUUUCAAAUAUUUUAAUUUGAAUUUCUUAUUAUGCCAACGUUCCAACAUUGUCAUUCUUUUUUGUUUGUUUCUUUGGUUUUGUUUUGAGACAGGGUCUUACUCUGUCACCCAGGCUGGAGUGCAGUGGUAGUGCAAUCUUGGCUCACUGCAGUCUCAACAUCCAAAGCCCAUCUCCCACCAUAGCCUCCUGAGUAGCUGGACUACAGGCACAUGUCACCACAAUCAGCUAA
ensembl:lncRNA